GAGAGACCUGCGGGGGGAUGUCACAGGCUCAGUACACAACUGCACAGAUGCUCUGUGCGGGGUCAGCUAGUAUUAUCAUAAUCUCUGCGGACAGCUCUCAUUCCGUGUUCCCUCUAAUGGGGAUUCCCAGAUGUUGUUGACUACAAUUCCCAGAAUCCCCAUCUGUAAUGGCUUUGCUUGGGGGGGGUAUGGGAGUUGUAGUCAACAUCUGGAAAUCCCUGUUAGAGGGAAUACUGCUCUCAUUCUAUUUAAUACUCCAUUCUCCUCAGUCCAUGUAUCAGGAUUGUUCCAGGUAUUGGAACAGAUCCUCCAAAAUGUACCCACUGGGUUCACUGAACAUCAGAUAUUAGUUUUUCCUUAUUAUUUAUUUUGGUUUUGGUAUUAGAUAUGAAGAAUAAGCAGCUAACUUAUAUCUUCUGUUCAAGCACUGAGAGAGGUACAUUUUAGAAGAUAUGUUCCAAUAACAAAAAUUACAGAUAAGGGAGGCAUCUCAAACCCAAACACAGACUGCAAAACAAGGAACUGUGCCAUUAAAUGGGUACAUUUGGAGGGCUUGCAGGGGUAUGGGGAGAACAGAUCAGGAGCUGGAUAAAGCCAAGCCACUGGUUUCAAGCACCAUGUAUGUAAGGGCCUGUGUCAAAGCCCAAACUCGUAUGCAGGAGGAGGAUAUGGAGGGAAAGGAGGGAACCAGGCAGAGAAAGCUGGGCUACUCUUCAGCUUUCUGACUGGACACAUGGGUGCUCCUCAUCCUAAGGAACAUCCCAGACAGUGAAUGUAUUUAACUUCAGUGUGGAAAGUUUGAUAUAAUGUAACUGGUUGUGUUGGUUGCUGAAGUCUUGGGAUCAAAGUUUAGGCUUAGCAACAGUUGCUAUGGGAGGGCAGAAUGUUUGUGGUUGCUAAGCGGUGUGGCUAUAGACUCUGACAGGUUGCUGUUGGAGAAAAACAGUUAGCAGUUGGGCUUAGCUGAAGGAGAGUUGAGAGUUGACUAAAGAAGGAAACAUUGGAAGUGAAGAAAGGACUCUUUGCAGAAGCUUAGCAGUUGCUUCUGGAGGAAAAUUCAGCUAUCCUGUAUCACCUGAAUUGGUAGCCGGAGGGAAAAACAAUAUUAUGUGCAGAAUGUCUGGGAACCUCAACGUUACAGACUGGAAUACAAGUAAGUUUCUAUACGUUGACCACUAUCGGAAACAAGAUGCUGGACUUAAUUGAUUUUAAAUUGAAAUGACCUAACUUCCCCAAAUGCCUGCUGGAGGCAGUAAUGGGCUGGAUGAGGGAGAACAAACUGAGGCUGAAUCCAAGCAAGACGGAGUUUCAUUCAGAUUCACGUUCAUGGCAGUUUCCUACACAAUAUUUAUGGGAAUUAAUAUAAGGUUUCCAAAAGGAAUGUGUGCUACAUCAGAGGAAAACUCCUUCAAAAACCUGAACUAUUUUGAAAGUUACAGAAAAAAAGCCUUGAAAAACCUGAGCAGCUAGAUCAAAGAAGAGUUCUUUGCAAGAGCCCAAACCUUUGAAUAUUAAUGAAAAUAAACCUUGUCAAACCUGAA